rnacentral:rRNA from 1 species
GGGCUGUUCAAGGGGUUGAAGCUCUCGGAUGAGGAGAAGAAGGGAGUCAAGAUCAGGAUCUUGGCCAAGGAAAAGGGGAAGGAGGUGGCGGCUCAGGCGGUUGGGAAGGUGAUGUCGGAGAAGCCGAGGCAUCCCGAUGCGAUCUGUCUCACGCUGGGGAAGAUCUAGUGCCCAAUCAAGGGGAUUGAUUGCAAGGAGAUAGGGGUAAACAAAUUCUUGUUCACGUUUCAUCAGGAGACGGGGAAGAGGAAGGCGCUGGAUGAUGGUCCCUGGAUGUUCGAUAAAGAUCUGGUGGUGGUGGAAGACUAUGUGCCUAGUAAAAGGCCGGAGGACUACCAAUUCAAUAAUAUUCCGAUCUGGGUUAGGGUCUUUGAUUUGCCCCUGGGUAUGAUGAAUGAGGAAGCUGCUGAAGAUAUCGAAAACCUAAUCGGUCGCUUUGAGGAGGCAGAUACUGGAGCUGAUGGUAACACAAUAGGCAAGUACCUGAGGAUUAAGGUGCGUAUGAGUAUUGAUAAACCCAUUAUGAGGGGGUUCACUUUGAGUGAUGAGUCAGAGGGGGGAAGAUGCAUGAUAAGCAGAUGGUAG